UAAUACGGAGGAUCCAAGCGUUAUCCGGAUUCAUUGGGUUUAAAGGGUGCGUAGGCGGCUUAUUAAGUCAGCGGUGAAAGCCUGGAGCUUAACUCCAGAACUGCCAUUGAUACUGAUGAGCUUGAGUACACUUGAAGUGGGCGGAAUGUGUCGUGUAGCGGUGAAAUGCUUAGAUAUGACACAGAACACCGAUUGCGAAGGCAGCUCACUAAAUUGUAACUGACGCUGAGGCACGAAAGCGUGGGGAUCAAACAGGAUUAGAUACCCUGGUAGUCCACGCCGUAAACGUUGAUAACUCGAUGUGUGCGAUAUACAGUACGCGUCUAAGCGAAAGCAUUAAGUUAUCCACCUGGGGAGUACGAUCGCAAGAUUG
rnacentral:rRNA from 1 species